GAUGAACGCUGGCGGCGUGCUUAACACAUGCAAGUCGAGCGAGAGAGUUCUUCGGAACAAUCUAGCGGCGGACGGGUGAGUAACACGUGGGCAACCUGCCUCAUAGAGGGGAAUAGCCUUCCGAAAGGAAGAUUAAUACCGCAUAACACCGCUGAAGGGCAUCCUUCGAUGAUCAAAGGAGCAAUCCGCUAUGAGAUGGGCCCGCGGCGCAUUAGCUAGUUGGUGAGGUAACGGCUCACCAAGGCGACGAUGCGUAGCCGACCUGAGAGGGUGAUCGGCCACAUUGGGACUGAGACACGGCCCAGACUCCUACGGGAGGCAGCAGUGGGGAAUAUUGCACAAUGGGGGAAACCCUGAUGCAGCAACGCCGCGUGAGUGAUGACGGCCUUCGGGUUGUAAAGCUCUGUCUUUGGGGACGAUAAUGGCGGUACCCAAGGAGGAAGUCACGGCUAACUACGUGCCAGCAGCCGCAGUAA
rnacentral:rRNA from 1 species